AGAUGGAGAAGGAUCAUCUAAACAAUGAUGUACUAAAUUGGAGUCGGAGGUUCAGCUACAUUGAUACCCUUGCUGGAUAUGCGCCCACUAAUGAAGUUGUUGAUGCUCAAUCCAUGGAAAAGGAGCAAAGAGCAAAGCCAAAACAUGGAUUGGAUGGCAGACAUCCUCUCUUAGGAGAAGACCAAGAAAUACACACCUAGGGGAAAGAAGAGGAAAAAGGGGCGUAGGGAUAAUCUGGCAUAUUGAAGUGAGCAAGGCAGGUGAUGGCUACCGGUGCCGGGCGAGCUAGCGGGUGAGAGACCAGAGAGUAAAGGGAAGAAGACGGCGCAUCAAAAGAUAUCGUGUGGCGAUGGCUGGCCCUCUUUGGCAUGGCUCUGAGCAUGAAAAGGAUGAAGGUGGGCUAGGAAACGAUGAGGAAUCGACAAGAAUUGGACUAUGUCCUGUUCGCUGCUGCGGCAGUUUUCAUUGAAUUUGUG